rnacentral:rRNA from 1 species
UGGGGAAUCUUGCGCAAUGCGCGAAAGCGUGACGCAGCAACGCCGCGUGGGGGAAGAAGGCUUUCGGGUUGUAAACCCCUUUCAGUUGGGACGAAGCUUCGCCGGUGAAUAGCCGGCCGGAGUGACGGUACCUUCACAAGAAGCACCGGCUAACUACGUGCCAGCAGCCGCGGUAAUACGUAGGGUGCAAGCGUUGUCCGGAAUUAUUGGGCGUAAAGAGCGUGUAGGCGGCCCGAUUAGUCCGCUGUGAAAGUCCAGGGCUCAACCCUGGAAUGCCGGUGGAUACUAUCGGGCUAGAGUCCGGAAGGGGCGAGUGGAAUUCCUGGUGUAGCGGUGAAAUGCGCAGAUAUCAGGAGGAACACCAAUGGCGAAGGCAGCUCGCUGGGACGUGACUGACGCUGAGACGCGAAAGCGUGGGGAGCAAACAGGAUUAGAUACCCUGGUAGUCCACGCUGUAAACGAUGGCAACUAGAUGUGGGGGGUGUCGACUCCCCCCGUGUCGAAGCUAACGCAUUAAGUUGCCCGCCUGGGGAGUACGGCCGCAAGGCUA